GGCUGUAUAGCUCAAUGGCAGAGCAUCCGGUUUGCAUGCAGAAGGUCCUGGGUUCAAUUUCCAGCAUGUCCA